GCCGUGGUGGUGAAAUUGGUAGACACGCUAUCUUGAGGGGGUAGUGCUUCAGAGCAUGCGGGUUCAAGUCCCGCCCACGGCACCA
rnacentral:tRNA from 1 species